UUUGCCAGUUCUGCAUGGUCCAUUCGCUCUAAAAUCCAUCUUCUUUCAUUGGUGUUUUCUCUAUUCAGUUCUGUGUGUACAAGAUUCUAGCCAUUGGACGACUUCCUGCGAGGCAAUAUGGCAAGCACCAUGGCCGCACCAAGCUCAUGGGGACUGCCAGCACCAACAGGGUUCUCUGGCUGGUCCCCACACUGCCAACACUGCCGCCGUGAGCAUGGGGGAGCCAGGGGCGCCCAACGCAAAGGAGUGAACGCUCUUCAUUCAGGAAGGACUGACUUUGAAUUGCAGAGCUCCAGAUACUCUGUGGUUUGGGACUGACGUAAAGUAGGAUGUUGCUGAGGACAUUCCAAGGACAUUGUCU
rnacentral:lncRNA from 1 species